CCAACGGCCCUCUUAAGGGCCACACUAGUGUUAUCGAGUUGUGUUGU
rfam:Steinernema glaseri strain NC unplaced genomic scaffold GLAS_6828, whole genome shotgun sequence.